GACGAACGCUGGCGGCGUGCUUUACACAUGCAAGUCGAACGGGGAAGGUGGAGCUUGCUCCGCCGGAUCAGUGGCGAACGGGUGAGUAACACGUGGGCAACCUGCCCCUAACUUUGGGAUAACUACUCGAAAGAGUAGCUAAUACCGGAUAUGAAGUCUGUAGGCAUCUACGGAUUUGGAAAGUUUUUCGGUUAGGGAUGGGCCCGCGGCCUAUCAGCUUGUUGGUGAGGUAGUGGCUCACCAAGGCGACGACGGGUAGCCGGCCUGAGAGGGCGACCGGCCACACUGGGACUGAGACACGGCCCAGACUCCUACGGGAGGCAGCAGUGGGGAAUAUUGCGCAAUGGGCGAAAGCCUGACGCAGCAACGCCGCGUGCGGGAUGAAGGCCUUCGGGUUGUAAACCGCUUUCAGCAGGGAAGAAGCGAAAGUGACGGUACCUGCAGAAGAAGCACCGGCUAACUACGUGCCAGCAGCCGCGGUAA
rnacentral:rRNA from 1 species